rnacentral:misc_RNA from 1 species
UCCGGUUUGUCACCGGCAGUCUCCCUAGAGUGCCCUUGCGUAGCAACUAGGGACAAGGGUUGCGCUCGUUGCGGGACUUAACCCAACAUCUCACGACACGAGCUGACGACAGCCAUGCAGCACCUGUGUUCCGAUUCCCUUUCAGGCACACCCACCUUUCAGCAGGCUCUCGGACAUGUCAAGGGUAGGUAAGGUUGUUCGCGUUGCAUCGAAUUAAUCCACAUCAUCCACCGCUUGUGCGGGUCCCCGUCAAUUCCUUUGAGUUUUAACCUUGCGGCCGUACUCCCCAGGCGGCUCACUUCACGCGUUAGCUACGGUACCAAGGAAUCGCUUCCCCAACACCUAGUGAGCAUCGUUUAGGGCGUGGACUAC